rnacentral:sRNA from 1 species
GUAUAAUGAUCCAUUAUUAUCGGGCAGAAUGACAAUAAGCAGAUCAAUUUCUUUUCCUUGGGAGAGUUUUGAUGUGGCAUCAUGAUAUCUAGUCUUCAAGACCUUCUCUACUUGCUCAGGGCGAGCACUGACUGGUGGGAGGACUGGUUCCGGAUUAAAUGCCUGCAGGUAAGAAAUAAAAAAUUAAAGGGAAGGAAUCAGUGUAGGAAA